AAUGAACGUUGGCGGCGUGGAUUAGGCAUGCAAGUCGUACGGACCGUGGUAGCAAUAUUACGGUUAGUGGCGCAAGGGAGAGUAAUACGUAGGUAUUUACCCUGGGGUCUGGGAUAGCGGCGGGAAACUGCCGGUAAUACCAGAUGAUAUCUCCGGAUCAAAGGUGGGAUUCCGCCCUAGGAGAAGCCUGCGGUCUAUCAGCUAGUUGGUAGGGUAACGGCUUACCAAGGCAAAGACGGAUAUGGGGCGUGAGAGCGUGCCCCCACUCACUGGGACUGAGACACUGCCCAGACACCUACGGGUGGCUGCAGUCGAGAAUCUUCGGCAAUGGGCGCAAGCCUGACCGAGCGACGCCGCGUGCGGGAUGAAGGCCUUCGGGUUGUAAACCGCUGUCGAAGGGGAGGAAAUUGUAGUGGGUUCACCCAUUAUAUUGACCGAUCCUUGGAGGAAGGGCCGGCUAAUCUCGUGCCAGCAGCCGCCGCAG
rnacentral:rRNA from 1 species